rnacentral:rRNA from 1 species
UACAGAGGGGGCAAGCGUUGUUCGGAAUUACUGGGCGUAAAGGGCGCGUAGGCGGCCUUCUAAGUCGAACGUGAAAUCCCCGGGCUCAACCCGGGAACUGCGUCCGAUACUGGAAGGCUUGAAUCCGGGAGAGGGAUGUGGAAUUCCAGGUGUAGCAGUGAAAUGCGUAGAGAUCGGGAGGAACAUCGGUGGCGAAGGCGGCCUUCUGGACGAUGACUGACGCUGAGACGCGAAAGCGUGGGGAGCAAACAGG